rnacentral:tRNA from 1 species
CCCCCUGUAGCUCAGUUGGUUAGAGCAGAGGACUCAUAAUCCUUUGGUCGCCCGUUCAAGUCGGGCCGGGGGGACCA